GGGGAUGUAGCUCAGUGGUAGAGCGUUCGCUUUGCGUGUGAAAGGCCCCGGGUUCGAUCCACGGCAUCUCCA
rnacentral:tRNA from 1 species